UGUAGCUCAGUAGUAGAGCACUUGCCUAGCAAGUGUGAGGCACUGGGUUCAAUUCUCAGCA
rnacentral:tRNA from 1 species